rnacentral:tRNA from 1 species
UCCCUGGUGGUCCAGUGGUUAGGACAGCCACCCUCAUUGCUGAGGGCAUGGGUUCAAUCCCUAGCCGGGGAA